rnacentral:rRNA from 1 species
CUACGGGGUGCUGCAGUGGGGAAUAUUGCACAAUGGGGGAAACCCUGAUGCAGCAACGCCGCGUGGAGGAUGACGCAUUUCGGUGUGUAAACCCCUUUUAUAUAGGAAGAUAAUGACGGUACUAUAUGAAUAAGCACCGGCUAACUCCGUGCCAGCAGCCGCGGUAAUACGGAGGGUGCAAGCGUUACUCGGAAUCACUGGGCGUAAAGCGCGCGUAGGCGGCCUUUUAAGUUGGAUGUGAAAGCCUAUGGCUUAACCAUAGAACUGCAUCCAAAACUAUCAGGCUAGAGUCUGGGAGGGGAAGAUGGAAUUAGUUGUGUAGGGGUAAAAUCCGUAGAGAUAACUAGGAAUACCAAAAGCGAAGGCGAUCUUCUGGAACAGUACUGACGCUGAGGCGCGAAAGCGUGGGGAGCAAACAGGAUUAGAUACCCCCGUAGUC